rnacentral:rRNA from 1 species
UCCCGGCACGGGGAGGUAGUGACGAAAAAUAACAAUACGGGACUCUUCAUGAGGCCCCGUAAUUGGAAUGAGCGCAGUCUAAACCCUUGGGCGAGGACCCAUUGGAGGGCAAGUCUGGUGCCAGCAGCCGCGGUAAUUCCAGCUCCAAUAGCGUAUAUUAAAGUUGUUGCAGUUAAAAAGCUCGUAGUUGGAUCUCGGGCGCAGGCGGGCGGUCCGGCUCGCGCCGGUUCGCCGCCCGUUCCCCUGCCCCACCCCUGCCGGCUCCCUCCCGGCGGUGCUCUUCGCUGAGCGUCCCGGGCGGCCGGCGCGUUUACUUUGAAAAAAUUAGAGUGUUCAAGGCGGGCCCGCCGAGCCCGAAUAACUGCGCAUGGAAUAAUGGAAUAGGACCUCGGUUCUAUUUUGCUGGUUUUCGGAAUCCGAGGUAAUGAUUGACGGGGACAAACGGGGGCAUUCGUAUUGCGGCGUUAGAGGUGAAAAUUCUGGAUCGCCGCAAGACGGGCUACUGCGAAA